GAGCUAUCAACCACUCAGCCAUCUCUCC
rnacentral:tRNA from 2 species